UACGUAGGCAGCGAGCGUUGUUCGGAGUUACUGGGCGUAAAGGGUGUGUAGGCGGUUGGUUAAGUUUGGUGUGAAAUCUCCCGGCUUAACUGGGAGGGUGCGCCGAAUACUGAAUGACUUGGAGUGCGGGAGAGGUGAGUGGAAUUCCUGGUGUAGCGGUGAAAUGCGUAGAUAUCAGGAGGAACACCGGUGGUGUAGACGGCUCACUGGACCGUAACUGACGCUGAGACACGAAAGCGUGGGUAGCAAACAGG
rnacentral:rRNA from 1 species